AUUGAACGCUGGCGGCAGGCCUAACACAUGCAAGUCGAACGGUAACAGGAAGACGCUUGCUUCUUUGCUGACGAGUGGCGGACGGGUGAGUAAUGUCUGGGAAACUGCCUGAUGGAGGGGGAUAACUACUGGAAACGGUAGCUAAUACCGCAUAACGUCGCAAGACCAAAGAGGGGGACCUUCGGGCCUCUUGCCAUCGGAUGUGCCCAGAUGGGAUUAGCUAGUAGGUGGGGUAACGGCUCACCUAGGCGACGAUCCCUAGCUGGUCUGAGAGGAUGACCAGCCACACGGGAACUGAGACACGGUCCAGACUCCUACGGGAGGCAGCAGUGGGGAAUAUUGCACAAUGGGCGCAAGCCUGAUGCAGCCAUGCCGCGUGUAUGAAGAUGGCCUUCGGGUUGUAAAGUACUUUCAGCGGGGAGGAAGGGAGUAAAGUUAAUACCUUUGCUCAUUGACGUUACCCGCAGAAGAAGCACCGGCUAACUCCGUG
rnacentral:rRNA from 1 species